rnacentral:tRNA from 1 species
GGGGGCAUAGCUCAGUUGGGAGAGCAGUAGACUGAAGGAGAAAACCCGUAUUCUAAAGGUCCCGCGUUCGAUCCGCGGUGCCCCCA